ACCGUCGUGAGCACUGUUAGUUUUACCCUACUGAUGAUGUGUUGUUGCCAUGGNAAUCCUGCUCAGUACGAGAGGAACCGCAGUNAAGACAUUUGGUGUAUGUNCUUGGCUGAGGAGCCAAUGGGGCGAAGUACCAUCUGUGGGAUUAUGACUNANCGCCUC
rnacentral:rRNA from 1 species